AAUGCAUUGAAGCAUUUGAUUUUAAUAUAAUUUUUCUCACAUAAAUUGAUUUGAAAAUAGAAAGAGAAGAAGGAUAACGUAUGAAAGUGGAACACCAGAUUGACUACAGGGUAAAAAUUUGAAUCUAAGAACUUAGUGGUCUAAAGACUGCCAAGUAGGAUAACGAGAACGAGGACUACAAUCUUGAGCUUCCAAUGAAAUGAGAGAUUUAGAUACCCCAAGAUAAGAAGCACCUGUGAAAUCCUGGACAUGGAUUCCACCAAGAUAAGGAAAUCCACACACAACCCAUUAUAAAUGCCCACCAAACCCACUUCUCUCUUCCACCACUUCAGUCACUCAACUUGUAGAAGACUAAAAUCCACACUCAUUUAAGCAAUGGCAG
rnacentral:misc_RNA from 1 species